CAGCCGCCGCGGUAAUACGGAGGGUGCAAGCGUUAUCCGGAUUCACUGGGUUUAAAGGGUGCGUAGGCGGGCAGGUAAGUCAGUGGUGAAAUCCUGGAGCUCAACUCCAGAACUGCCAUUGAUACUAUCUGUCUUGAAUAUUGUGGAGGUAAGCGGAAUAUGUCAUGUAGCGGUGAAAUGCUUAGAUAUGACAUAGAACACCCAUUGCGAAGGCAGCUUACUACGCAUAUAUUGACGCUGAGGCACGAAAGCGUGGGGAUCAAACAGGAUUAGAUACCCUGGUAGUCCACGCCCUAAACGAUGGAUACUCGACAUACGCGAUACACUGUGUGUGUCUGAGCGAAAGCAUUAAGUAUCCCACCUGGGAAGUACGUUCGCAAGAAUGAAACUCAAAGGAAUUGGCGGGGGAGCACGG
rnacentral:rRNA from 1 species